GACGAACGCUGGCGGCAUGCCUAAUACAUGCAAGUCGAGCGAACAGAUGAAGUGCUUGCACUUCUGACGUUAGCGGCGAACGGGUGAGUAACACGUAAGGAAUCUACCUAUAAGCGGGGGAUAACAUUCGGAAACGGGUGCUAAUACCGCAUAAUAUCUUCUUCCGCAUGGAAGAAGAUUGAAAGAAGGCUCUGCUGUCACUUAUAGAUGACCUUGCGGUGCAUUAGUUAGUUGGUGGGGUAAUGGCCUACCAAGACGAUGAUGCAUAGCCGACCUGAGAGGGUGAUCGGCAACAUUGGGACUGAGACACGGCCCAAACUCCUACGGGAGGCAGCAGUAGGGAAUCUUCCGCAAUGGGCGAAAGCCUGACGGAGCAAUGCCGCGUGAGUGAAGAAGGCCUUCGGGUCGUAAAACUCUGUUAUAAGAGAAGAACAAAUUGUAGAGUAACUGCUACAGUCUUGACGGUAUCUUAUCAGAAAGCCACGGCUAACUACGUGCCAGCAGCCGCAGUAA
rnacentral:rRNA from 1 species